CUCAAACUGUAAUGUAGAACUGUAAUUUAGGUAUUUGGUUGACACAUAGAAAGACCUUAAAGACUCUUUUACUUAGAAUAGGUAUGUUACUUGGAACACCCAAUCUCAUUGUUCUGUGUUUUAUUUAGAUGAUGAAGAAAUGUACAUCCAAGGAAAAUCAAACCAAGUAAAGGAGGAAAAACUUUGAGUUCUGCUUAAGGUCUAGGACUUCCUAAGGCUCAUUCCAGCUCCUCCAGAUGAAGGCAUUUUCUAAGCAGGAGACAAUUACAAAUGACUGCCUUUUCACUUAACUGUGUCCUCAUAUGGAAGAGAGGAGAAAAGAGGAGAGGAGGGGAGAGG
rnacentral:lncRNA from 1 species